CUCACCAAGGUGAUGAUGCAUAGCCGACCUGAGAGGGUAAUCGGCCACAUUGGGACUGAGACACGGCCCAAACUCCUACGGGAGGCAGCAGUAGGGAAUCUUCCGCAAUGGACGCAAGUCUGACGGAGCAACGCCGCGUGAGUGAAGAAGGUUUUCGGAUCGUAAAACUCUGUUGUAAGAGAAGAACAAAUUGUAGAGUAACUGCUACAGUCUUGACGGUAUCUUACCAGAAAAGCCACGGGCUAACUACGUGCCCAGCAGCCGCGGGUAAAUA
rnacentral:rRNA from 1 species